rnacentral:rRNA from 1 species
AUUGAACGCUAGCGGGAUGCUUUACACAUGCAAGUCGAACGAGUGGCGGACGGGUGAGUAAUGUAUGGGGACUGCCCGAUAGAGGGGGAUAACUACUGGAAACGGUAGCUAAUACCGCAUACUAUCGGAUAACCCAUAUGGGAUUAGCUAGUAGGUGAGGUAAUUGCUCACCUAGGCGACGAUCCCUAGCUGGUCUGAGCGGAUGAGCAGCCACUCUGGGACUGAGACACUGCCCAGGCUCCAACGGAAGCAGCAGUGGGACAUAUUGAACUGUGGGAGCAAGCCUGAUGCAGCCAUGCCGCGUGUAUGAAGAAGGCACGAGGGUUGUGGAGUACUUUCAGUCGGGAGGCGUUACCGACAGAAGAAGCACAGGCUAACUCCGUGCCAGCAGCCGCGGUAAUUC